ensembl:misc_RNA Metazoa_SRP Metazoan signal recognition particle RNA
GCUGGGAAUGAUAGCACAUUCCUAUAAUCCCUGCUGUCAGGAAGGCUGAGGCUGGUGAAAGCUGCAAUGGGAUAAGUCAAUCAGGUAUCUGAACUAAGUCUAGCACCAGUAUGGUGAACCCCUCAGAAUAAGGAGCCAUCAGGCUGCCUAAGGAGAAGUGAAAUGGCCCAGGUUGGAAACACAACAGGUCAGAGCUUCCAUGCUGGUGAGUAGUGGGCUUGGGAUUGCAUUCUGUAUUUCUAGCCUUGA